rnacentral:rRNA from 1 species
GUGGAUUAGAUACCCUGGUAGUCCACGCCGUAAACGAUGAGCACUAGGUGUCGGGGCCGCAAGGUUUCGGUGCCGCAGUUAACGCAUUAAGUGCUCCGCCUGGGGAGUACGCACGCAAGUGUGAAACUCAAAGGAAUUGACGGGGACCCGCACAAGCAGCGGAGCAUGUGGUUUAAUUCGAAGCAACGCGAAGAACCUUACCAGGGCUUGACAUCCUUCUGACCGGUCCUUAACCGGACCUUUCUUCGGACAGAAGUGACAGGUGGUGCACGGCGGUCGACAACU